rnacentral:rRNA from 1 species
GAUGAACGCUGGCGGCGUGCUUAACACAUGCAAGUCGAACGGAAAGGCUCCUGCUUGCAGGGGUACUCGAGUGGCGAACGGGUGAGUAACACGUGGGUGAUCUGCCCUGCACUUCGGGAUAAGCCUGGGAAACUGGGUCUAAUACCGGAUAGGACGAUGGUUUGGAUGCCAUUGUGGAAAGUUUUUCGGUGUGGGAUGAGCUCGCGGCCUAUCAGCUUGUUGGUGGGGUAAUGGCCUACCAAGGCGUCGACGGGUAGCCGGCCUGAGAGGGUGUACGGCCACAUUGGGACUGAGAUACGGCCCAGACUCCUACGGGAGGCAGCAGUGGGGAAUAUUGCACAAUGGGCGCAAGCCUGAUGCAGCGACGCCGCGUGGGGGAUGACGGCCUUCGGGUUGUAAACUCCUUUCGCUAGGGACGAAGCGCAAGUGACGGUACCUGGAGAAGAAGCACCGGCUCACUACGUG